rnacentral:rRNA from 1 species
GAUGAACGCUGGCGGCGUGCUUAACACAUGCAAGUCGAACGAAGCACUUAUGACAGAUUCUUCGGAUGAUGGAUUAAGUGACUGAGUGGCGGACGGGUGAGUAACGCGUGGGUAACCUGCCUCAUACAGGGGGAUAACAGUUAGAAAUGACUGCUAAUACCGCAUAAGCGCACAGGACCGCAUGGUCUGGUGUGAAAAACUCCGGUGGUAUGAGAUGGACCCGCGUCUGAUUAGCUAGUUGGUGGGGUAACGGCCCACCAAGGCGACGAUCAGUAGCCGACCUGAGAGGGUGACCGGCACAUUGGGACUGAGACACGGCCCAAAAUCCUACGGGAGGCAGCAGUGGGGAAUAUUGCAC